UACGGAGGAUGCGAGCGUUAUCCGGAUUUAUUGGGUUUAAAGGGUGCGUAGGCGGGAUGCCAAGUCAGCGGUAAAAAUGCGGUGCUCAACGCCGUCGAGCCGUUGAAACGGGCGUUCUUGAGUGGGCGAGAAGUAUGCGGAAUGCGUGGUGUAGCGGUGAAAUGCAUAGAUAUCACGCAGAACUCCGAUUGCGAAGGCAGCAUACCGGCGCCCUACUGACGCUGAGGCACGAAAGCGUGGGUAUCGAACAGG
rnacentral:rRNA from 1 species